GAUGACGCUGGCGGCGUGCCUAACACAUGCAAGUCGAGCGAGCGGCGGACGGGUGAGUAAUGUCUGGGGAACUGCCUGAUGGAGGGGGAUAACUACUGGAAACGGUAGCUAAUACCGCAUACUAUCGGAUGUGCCCAGAUGGGAUUAGCUAGUAGGUGGGGUAAAGGCUCACCUAGGCGACGAUCCCUAGCUGGUCUGAGAGGAUGACCAGCCACACUGGAACUGAGACACGGUCCAGACUCCUACGGGAGGCAGCAGUGGGGAAUAUUGCACAAUGGGCGCAAGCCUGAUGCAGCCAUGCCGCGUGUAUGAAGAAGGCCUUAGGGUUGUAAAGUACUUUCAGCGGGGAGGCGUUACCCGCAGAAGAAGCACCGGCUAACUCCGUGCCAGCAGCCGCGGUAAUUC
rnacentral:rRNA from 1 species